rnacentral:rRNA from 1 species
UCCGUAGGUGGAUAAUUAAGUCAGAGGUGAAAUCCUGCAGCUCAACUGUAGAAUUGCCUUUGAUACUGGUUAUCUUGAGUCAUUAUGAAGUGGUUAGAAUGUGUAGUGUAGCGGUGAAAUGCAUAGAUAUUACACAGAAUACCGAUUGCGAAGGCAGAUCACUAAUAAUGUACUGACACUGAGGGACGAAAGCGUGGGGAGCGAACAGGAUUAGAUACCCUGGUAGUCU